ACGUACACUCCUGCGGGAGGCAGCAGUGGGGAAUAUUGCACAAUGGGCGCAAGCCUGAUGCAGCCAUGCCGCGUGUAUGAAGAAGGCCUUCGGGUUGUAAAGUACUUUCAGCGGGGAGGAAGGCGAUAAGGUUAAUAACCUUGUUGAUUGACGUUACCCGCAGAAGAAGCACCGGCUAACUCCGUGCCAGCAGCCGCGGUAAUACGGAGGGUGCAAGCGUUAAUCGGAAUUACUGGGCGUAAAGCGCACGCAGGCGGUCUGUCAAGUCGGAUGUGAAAUCCCCGGGCUCAACCUGGGAACUGCAUUCGAAACUGGCAGGCUAGAGUCUUGUAGAGGGGGGUAGAAUUCCAGGUGUAGCGGUGAAAUGCGUAGAGAUCUGGAGGAAUACCGGUGGCGAAGGCGGCCCCCUGGACAAAGACUGACGCUCAGGUGCGAAAGCGUGGGGAGCAAACAGGAUUAGAAACCCUGGUAGUCCCAUG
rnacentral:rRNA from 1 species